ACACAUACAAGACUCCGCGCAUCGGCCGAGUGCUAGCGGAUGGCCAAUUUGAAGUCGUCUGGACCGCGGCCAAGCCGGAACCGCCGAUUCCCUAUCCGCCUUCCCGUUCCACCGAAGAAUGGCGAGCCUUUCUUCAUGACCUCUACGCCGGCUGGAGCAAGCAAUGGUCGGCUGGC
rnacentral:misc_RNA from 1 species